GGUAUAUAUAUGAUGUUAUACUCAGCUGCACAAUGCAAGCCCUGUGUGCCUCAAAAGAGCAAUACUUGAGUGUCCUAACAAUGUGUGCUGAGAAAAGGAAUUCAAGAAACCAAAAUAGUUAAUGAUUUCUGAGAGACUCUUUGACAAUUUAAGCUUUAUAUGAUCCUAGAAAUCCACAUGGAAAAGGGUACUAAUAUACUGAAGAUCAUGAAGAUCUUUUGCUGCUGUAUUUCUGGUGUAAAGAGGUGGUUCUAAGGUGCACUACAGUUCUGAGGUCAAGUCAGAGGUUUCCAAGGGAUGAGGCAAGGUUUGGGUAAAUUGGGAUAGUUGGUCUCCAACACCUGGAAGAGCUUGGGUAAAAAAAAAUUUAGUCUACAGACAGGUUUCGGAUAUUAAGAAGCAGGUUGUCUGGCUAUAUGUAAGCGGGCAGCGCUCCUUAAAAAAAGUAUGUAUUUCGAUUUUUCGGGAAUGGUCUGAGAAGAUAUUGUUAUUGUUUAUGGUCUGAGGAGACCCUUUGAUUUAUUAAGAAUUUAUGGUGCUUUUGAAGUUUUUUAUUGUCAUGUGACAGAUUAUGGCAGAUUCAGAGCCCUUGGCUGUUAAUUCUCUUGGCUCAAGGUCUGUGGUUGGUGGUGCCAUUUUUCCCAUCAACUCAUCAGAAAAUCUAGGACUUCAAAUCACCACAUUGAAGUUGGAUGGCUCCAACUAUUUAAUUUGGGCAGAGUCUGUCAAGAUGUUCAUUGGUAGCAAAGGCAAGAUUGGCUAUAUUACUAGUUAUGAGAAAGAGCCAGCUGAGUUAGAAAAGGCAUAUCCACAGCGGUUUGCAGAUAACACUAUGGUUAUGUCUUGGCUAGUCAAUUCGAUGCAACCAAACAUAGCCGUUGGCUAUAUGUUUAUGAAGACUGCUAUGGAAAUUUGGGAUUCAAUUCAACGCGCUUAUUCUCAGAGGCAGAAUAAUACACGGAUUUUCCAAUUGGGGCGAGAUAUCACCAGGAUUUCUCAAGGUGGCUUGACAGUUUUAGGUAACAUCGCCAAGCUUCAUGCUAUUUGGGAGGAGAUGUCAUAUUAUGAUUCCUUCCACUCUUAGAAGGAUCCAGAUGAUGCAGUUUUAUAUGCAGGGAUUGUGGAGAAAAAUUGAGUGUUUCAGUUUCUUGUCGGGUUGAACGACGAGUUUGAGUAUGCUUGUGUUCAUUUAUUGGGCUUAUCUUCAUUCCCUACUCUUGAGGAUGCAUACUCCUAUGUGUUGUCAGAUGAGAGCCGUCGGACUCAUCCAUUAAAUGUUGCUUCUGUUGAUCAUUCUGCUAUGGCAAUUCGGGUUUCCAAUCUUUCAGGAACAGCACCAUCCCAGUCAGUUCAGAGCUCUACUACCGGUCCUCCUUUGGGAUGAAAAUGUGGACAGUAUGACCAUUGUGGAAAAAUUUGUCACAUCAAAUCUCGUUGUUAAGCUCUACAUAGGCGCCUACUGCAACAAAAACAAUAACCUCGAUCCUCUGCACAUUCUGUCACACAACUAGUCUCGCUGUCAACUCCUCACAACUCUGCCUCUACAUCUGCUGCCACAAUUACCUUGACUGAAACUGAUUUGAACAAGUUCAAACAAUUCUUCAACCAAAUGGAGGCAUCAUCUCAGCCAACCUCCACUUAUGCCCACUCAAGUACUAUUGCGUCUACACAUAGCGUAUCUACAUCUUCGACACCAUGGAUCAUUGAUUCUGGUGCUUGACUGGUAUGUCCUCAUUCUUCCAAUCUUAUAAUAUCUGCUCUAGCCAUCGCAAGAUACACCUUGCGGAUGGCUCUCCAUCUUUCAUUGGUGAAGAGUACAUUGUCCAAUCUUCCAACUUAUUUUCUUACGCUUUUCCAAAUCCCCUCCUCUAUUGUUGGAAGACUUGAGAUGCUUCAAUGAAACUUCCUCUGGGGCGGACGGGGGGAGGAAUUUAUAUUUCAUCUUAUCCGGUGGGAGCGAGUAUGCAAGCCCUUUAAGUUGGGCGGUCUUGGGAUUAGGAGAUAUGCCCCUUUCAACAGAGCGCUCCUAGGCAAGUGGUUAUGGAGAUUCGGCAGUGAAAGACAUAAGUUAUGGAGGAAAGUUGUUUCAUGUCGUUUGGAGGAGAGAGAGGGGGAUGGUCGUCUAGGCUGGUUAGAUCUGCUGUCGGCGUGGGGGUGUGGAAAUCCAUUGGGAAGGAUUGAGAUGAAUUCUCUAAGCAUAUUAGAUUCAGAGUUCAUGAAGGAAGGGACGUCUAGUUUUAGGAGGAUACUUGGUGCGAGGAUCGCCCAUUGUCUUAUUUAUUCCUAAGGUUGUUCAAGAUUGCUAUUGAUAGACAUGCUUUGGUAGCUGGCUGUUAUCGACUCGAUAGCGGUAGGUUGUCUUGGGAUGUGCGAUUUCAGCGAUCCUUUCAGGAUUGGAGUUGGAUGACGUCACUAGUUUACUGGACCUUUUGUAUAGAUAGGAGGUGGAUGGUACUAAUUCAGAUUCUUUGAAUUGGGUACCUUCUUUGCAGGGGACUUUUCAGGUCCGGUCCUUCUUUCUCUGCCUCUCCGGGUUUCACGGUUCUAAUUUCCAGUGGAAAACGGUUUAGCAUUCGAAGGCUUCUCUUAGGGUGGCCUUUUUUGUUUGGACUACAGCUUGGGGUGGGAUCGUGACUCUGGACAAUUUGAGAAAGAGAAGACAAAUCAUAGUCAACUAGUCUGUGAAAGAAUGAUGGAGAGAGUUUGUGGAUCACCUUCUUUUGCAUUGCCCUGUGGCUCAUGACUGCUGGAGUCUUAUUUUAGGUCUUUUUGGCGUCCAAUGGGUUAUGCCCCGAACCUCAAGGGAUUUGAUUGACAUUUGGAGGGCCAAAGGGUGGGGGCUCAUGCUCGCGAUUUUUGGAGGGUGACCCCCCUUUGCGUUUGGUGGAGCCUUUGGAAAGAGCGGAAUAGAAGAUUUUUUUAUGGGGAGGAAUUCUCCAUUGGGGCAUUGAAGUUUUCUAUCAUUUCUUCUCUUUUUAGUUGGGUUAUGGGAAGAAAUUGUAUAUCUUUAGAUGAAAUCGUGGACUUUUUGGGUUCUUUGGGUCUAUAGGACUCCCCCUCUCUUUUUUCGGUUUUUGUACAGCUCUUGGGACGCAUUCCCCUUUUGAAUGCCUUCUAAUACAUUUUUACUUAUCCAAAAAAAAAAAAAAAAAAAAAACUAUGAAAGCACUUCAUUUUCCGGUCACCUUCCUUUAACCACAAAGCCCUCGAUUUUU